GACGAACGCUGGCGGCGUGCUUAACACAUGCAAGUCGAACGGAAAGGCCCUGCUUUUGUGGGGUGCUCGAGUGGCGAACGGGUGAGUAACACGUGAGUAACCUGCCCUUGACUUUGGGAUAACUUCAGGAAACUGGGGCUAAUACCGGAUAGGAGCUCCUGCUGCAUGGUGGGGGUUGGAAAGUUUCGGCGGUUGGGGAUGGACUCGCGGCUUAUCAGCUUGUUGGUGGGGUAGUGGCUUACCAGGCUUUGACGGGUAGCCGGCCUGAGAGGGUGACCGGCCACAUUGGGACUGAGAUACGGCCCAGACUCCUACGGGAGGCAGCAGUGGGGAAUAUUGCACAAUGGGCGGGAGCCUGAUGCAGCAACGCCGCGUGCGGGAUGACGGCCUUCGGGUUGUAAACCGCUUUCGCCUGUGACGAAGCGUGAGUGACGGUAAUGGGUAAAGAAGCACCGGCUAACUACGUG
rnacentral:rRNA from 1 species